AGACGUCUACAUUAGAUACCCCGGUAGUCCCAGCCGUAAACUAUGCGACGUUAGGUGUAUCGGUGACCACGAGUUACCGAGGUGCCGAAGGGAAACCGUGAAACGUGCCGCCUGGGAAGUACGGUCGCAAGGCUGAAACUUAAAGGAAUUGGCGGGGAGCACCACAACGGGUGGAGCCUGCGGUUUAAUUGGACUCAACGCCGGGAAGCUCACCGGAUAAGACAGCGGAAUGAUUGCCGGGCUGAAGACUCUGCAUGACUAGCUG
rnacentral:rRNA from 1 species